UACGUAGGGUGCGAGCGUUAAUCUGAAUUACUGGGCGUAAAGCGUGCGCAGGCGGUUUUGUAAGCCAGAUGUGAAAUCCCCGGGCUUAACCUGGGAAUGGCAUUUGGGACUGCAAGGCUUGAGUGCGGCAGAGGAGACUGGAAUUCCUGGUGUAGCAGUGAAAUGCGUAGAUAUCAGGAGGAAUACCGAUGGCGAAGGCAGGUCUCUGGGCUGACACUGACGCUCAUGCACGAAAGCGUGGGGAGCAAACAGG
rnacentral:rRNA from 1 species